UACGUAGGGCGCAAGCGUUGUCCGGAAUUAUUGGGCGUAAAGAGCUCGUAGGCGGCCUGUUGCGUCCGCUGUGAAAUCCCGGGGCUCAACCCCGGGCCUGCAGUGGAUACGGGCUGGCUAGAGGCAGGCAGGGGAGAACGGAAUUCCUGGUGUAGCGGUGAAAUGCGCAGAUAUCAGGAGGAACACCAGUGGCGAAGGCGGCUCACUGGGCUCCACCUGACGCUGAGGCGCGAAAGCGUGGGGAGCGAACCGG
rnacentral:rRNA from 1 species